rnacentral:rRNA from 1 species
GCUGAGUAUUAGGCAAAUCCGGUACUCGUUAAGGCUGAGCUGUGAUGGGGAGAAGACAUUGUGUCUUCGAGUCGUUGAUUUCACACUGCCGAGAAAAGCCUCUAGAUAGAAAAUAGGUGCCCGUACCGCAAACCGACACAGGUAGUCAAGAUGAGAAUUCUAAGGUGAGCGAGCGAACUCUCGUUAAGGAACUCGGCAAAAUGACCCCGUAACUUCGGGAGAAGGGGUGCUCUUUAGGGUUAACGCCCAGAAGAGCCGCAGUGAAUAGGCCCAAGCGACUGUUUAUCAAAAACACAGGUCUCUGCUAAACCGUAAGGUGAUGUAUAGGGGCUGACGCCUGCCCGGUGCUGGAAGGUUAAGAGGAGUGGUUAGCUUCUGCGAAGCUACGAAUCGAAGCCCCAGUAAACGGCGGCCGUAACUAUAACGGUCCUAAGGUAGCGAAAUUCCUUGUCGGGUAAGUUCCGACCCGCACGAAAGGCGUAACGAUUUGGGCACUGUCUCAACGAGAGACUCGGUGAAAUCAUAGUACCUGUGAAGAUGCAGGUUACCCGCGACAGGACGGAAAGACCCCGUGGAGCUUUACUGUAGCCUGAUAUUGAAAUUCGGCACAGCUUGUACAGGAUAGGUAGGAGCCUUUGAAACGUGAGCGCUAGCUUACGUGGAGGCGCUGGUGGGAUACUACCCUAGCUGUGUUGGCUUUCUAACCCGCACCACUUAUCGUGGUGGGAGACAGUGUCAGGCGGGCAGUUUGACUGGGGCGGUCGCCUCCUAAAAGGUAACGGAGGCGCUCAAAGGUUCCCUCAGAAUGGUUGGAAAUCAUUCAUAGAGUGUAAAGGCAUAAGGGAGCUUGACUGCGAGACCUACAAGUCGAGCAGGGUCGAAAGACGGACUUAGUGAUCCGGUGGUUCCGCAUGGAAGGGCCAUCGCUCAACGGAUAAAAGCUACCCCGGGGAUAACAGGCUUAUCUCCCCCAAGAGUUCACAUCGACGGGGAGGUUUGGCACCUCGAUGUCGGCUCAUCGCAUCCUGGGGCUGUAGUCGGUCCCAAGGGUUGGGCUGUUCGCCCAUUAAAGCGGUACGCGAGCUGGGUUCAGAACGUCGUGAGACAGUUCGGUCCCUAUCCGUCGUGGGCGUAGGAAAUUUGAGAGGAGCUGUCCUUAGUACGAGAGGACCGGGAUGGACAUACCUCUGGUGUACCAGUUGUCGUGCCAACGGCAUAGCUGGGUAGCUAUGUGUGGACGGGAUAAGUGCUGAAAGCAUCUAAGCAUGAAGCCCCCCUCAAGAUGAGAUUUCCCAACUUCGGUUAUAAGAUCCCUCAAAGAUGAUGAGGUUAAUAGGUUCGAGGUGGAAGCAUGGUGACAUGUGGAGCUGACGAAUACUAA